AAACCGCCGAUGGCCCGCGCAAGCGGGAUCAGGUAAGGGUGAAAGGGUGCGGUAAGAGCGCACCGCGCGGCUGGUAACAGUCCGCGGCACGGUAAACUCCACCCGGAGCAAGGCCAAAUAGGGGUUCAUAAGGUACGGCCCGUACUGAACCCGGGUAGGCUGCUUGAGCCAGUGAGCGAUUGCUGGCCUAGAUGAAUGACUGUCCACGACAGAACCCGGCUUAUCGGUCAGUUUCACCU
rnacentral:RNase_P_RNA from 1 species